UUCUUUCUUAAGUACAGGAGAGAUUUACAGGAAAAGUGCACUGUCUGCUAUGCUGCUGACCCAGUGUGUGAUCCUGAGUUAUGCUGGAGCCAGGAACCUGGAAGCCAUGGAAACAUAGAGUGCUGAAGCAGGCAGGCUGAAGAAGUACCAGGGUAAAUUAACAAGAUGCCAGGCAGCUUUCAAAACGUGCCAAGCAGAUGGUAUACAUGGGGAAUGUAUCUUUUCUGAAAGAAUGUUGUCAAUAAAACCAGAACUUCAGAAGCAGCUGGUGCUAGUGCAGAGAGCACUGGAUGAAGUUACUAAACAUGCUAUGGAGAGAAAAACCUUUGGAGAAUGACUAUAAGUGUCUUGAAGGAGAGUUCUCUGUGGGAGAUUCCAAUUUCAAGUAUUUGGCAAGUUCUGAGGAAAAAUUGUUUAACCAUUUUUUUUUUUUUUUUUUUGAGGGGAAGCUCUAAAAAGACAAAAUUGGCAAAUUUUCCUUUCUUGUUUCUGUAUACUGUGAAUGCAUUUGGACUGUUCUGCAUGAUAUAUCUAACCCCCUGUUAUGUUGUUACAUUGAUUAUAAACAUUAUUUUUUACCACAUGAAAAAAACAAAUCUCCUGCUAUAUAGCAGAAUAGCAAAUGAGUCCUUAGAACUAACAACAAAAUAGCAAACGUCUGUGGAAUUCCUACAGUGCUUCAAUGAAAGGAAGGGACUUUGAGGUCUUGUGGCUAAAGUACUGAAAAAGGCCUUAGAAGGCAAGAACUAAUAUUGUAAGCUCCUUCACUAAUUUCCUAUUUGACCUUGGGAAAAUCCUUUAUGGCCUUUUAGAGGUAUUGAGUACUUGCAACUGCUACUCACUUGAAUGCCCAGUUCUCAAAAUCUAGCCAUUAAUCUCUCACUCUCUCCCUUUGUCAUUUGUAAAAAUGAUUUACAGCACUCCAGUAUUUUUAAG